CUUUCUUUAAUUGAAUAAUUGAAUUUAAUUUUUUAGUGCAAAAGCAAAAAUAAAAAUUAGGGACAAGAAGACCCUAUGAAUUUUUUAUUAAAUUUUAUAAAACUUUAUAUAAAGUUUAAUUUAAUUGGGGUGAUGGAAAAAGAAUAAAUAUCUUUUUUUUAAAGAAAAUUGGUUCCGUUUUUAGCGAUUAAAUGAAAAAAAUACUCUAGGGAUAACAGCGUAAUAAUUUUGGAUAGUUCAUAUAGAUAAAAUAGUUUGCGACCUCGAUGUUGGAUUAGGAUUCUUUUUUGGUGAAGAAGUUAAAAAAAGAAGUUUGUUCAACUU
rnacentral:rRNA from 1 species